GGAAAACCUGAGGCUGGCCGGACAACUUCCUGUCCCUCUGGAUACAAGCGCUGACUCCAGCAGCAGUGUUCUGGGUGAAACCGGAAAUUAUCACCAAAUGGAGGAAGUAAAAGCUGAAGACCAGGAGCAGUCAGAGGCCCAUGGGGGGGAUUGGCUUGACCAAGCGGAGACGCACAGGGACACCUUUACCCUCAGGUUGCUGGAGCCGGUCUGGCUGGGCCCGGAGUGGGCCAAGAGAAAGAUGCCGCUCUUCUCUGUAUGACCAAAUGAACACCAACUCUUAUUCUUGUUAUGGCACAGGAUAUAAUGCCCCAUGAUGGCAUUGGACAGCUAUCUUGAUAUCAACACUGGAUUACUGCAGUGAAGGAGGCUACUGCUUCUUCUAUUCCAGGGCUAUUUUAUUAUUACAAUUCUGAAUUAUGCAGGUCAAAUUAUGACCUUUAAUGGCCCU